AACGGCUGGCGGCGUGCCUAAUACAUGCAAGUCGAACGGUCUUUCUAUGGAAGCUUGCUUCCACUGAGAAGAUAGUGGCGAACGGGUGAGUAACACGUGGGUAACCUGCCCAUAAGAGGGGGAUAACAUCCGGAAACGGGUGCUAAUACCGCAUAGUUUUCUUGAUCGCAUGAUCGGGAAAGGAAAGACGGCCUUUGUGCUGUCGCUUAUGGAUGGACCCGCGGCGUAUUAGUUAGUUGGUGAGGUAAUGGCUCACCAAGACGAUGAUACGUAGCCGACCUGAGAGGGUGAUCGGCCACAUUGGGACUGAGACACGGCCCAAACUCCUACGGGAGGCAGCAGUAGGGAAUCUUCCGCAAUGGACGAAAGUCUGACGGAGCAACGCCGCGUGAGUGAAGAAAGGUUUUCGGAUCGUAAAACUCUGUUGUCAGAGAAGAACAAGUUGGAGAGUAACUGCUCCAGCCUUGACGGUAUCUGACCAGAAAGCCACGGCUAACUACGUGCCAGCAGCCGC
rnacentral:rRNA from 1 species